rnacentral:rRNA from 1 species
ACGGGGGGUGCAAGCGUUAUUCGGAAUCAUUGGGCGUAAAGAGCGCGUAGGCGGUCCCUUAAGUCAGAUGUGAAAGCCCAGGGCUCAACCUUGGAAGUGCAUUUGAUACUAGGGGUCUUGAGUAUGGGAGAGGGAAGUGGAAUUCCUGGUGUAGAGGUGAAAUUCGUAGAUAUCAGGAGGAACACCGGUGGCGAAGGCGACUUCCUGGACCAAUACUGACGCUGAGGCGCGAAGGCGUGGGUAGCAAACAGG